rnacentral:rRNA from 1 species
GACGAACGCUGGCGGCGUGCCUAAUACAUGCAAGUAGAACGCACAGUUUAUACCGUAGCUUGCUACACCAUAGACUGUGAGUUGCGAACGGGUGAGUAACGCGUAGGUAACCUGCCUGGUAGCGGGGGAUAACUAUUGGAAACGAUAGCUAAUACCGCAUAAUAUUAAUUAUUGCAUGAUAAUUAAUUGAAAGGUGCAAUUGCACCACUACCAGAUGGACCUGCGUUGUAUUAGCUAGUAGGUGAGGUAACGGCUCACCUAGGCGACGAUACAUAGCCGACCUGAGAGGGUGAUCGGCCACACUGGGACUGAGACACGGCACAGACUCCUACGGGAGGCAGCAGUAGGGAAUCUUCGGCAAUGGACGAAAGUCUGACCGAGCAACGCCGCGUGAGUGAAGAAGGUUUUCGGAUCGUAAAGCUCUGUUGUAAGAGAAGAACGGGUGUGAGAGUGGAAAGUUCACACUGUGACGGUAUCUGACCAGAAAGGGACGGCUAACUACGUG